GACGAACGCUGGCGGCGUGCUUAACACAUGCAAGUCGAACGAUGAAGCUGGAGCUUGCUCUGGUGGAUUAGUGGCGAACGGGUGAGUAACACGUGAGUAACCUGCCCUGGACUCUGGGAUAACCCCGAGAAAUCGGAGCUAAUACCGGAUAGGACCUUGCACCGCAUGGUGUGGGGUGGAAAGUUUUUCGGUCUGGGAUGGACUCGCGGCCUAUCAGCUUGUUGGAGAGGUAAUGGCUCACCAAGGCGUCGACGGGUAGCCGGCCUGAGAGGGUGACCGGCCACACUGGGACUGAGACACGGCCCAGACUCCUACGGGAGGCAGCAGUGGGGAAUAUUGCACAAUGGGCGCAAGCCUGAUGCAGCAACGCCGCGUGCGGGAUGACGGCCUUCGGGUUGUAAACCGCUUUUAGUAAGGAAGAAGGGGCUUCGGCCUUGACGGUACUUGCAGAAAAAGGACCGGCUAACUACGUGCCAGCAGCCGCAGUAAAAC
rnacentral:rRNA from 1 species